rnacentral:rRNA from 1 species
AGUGAACGCUGGCGGUAGGCCUAACACAUGCAAGUCAAACGGCAGCACAGUAAGAGCCUGCUCUUACGGGUGGCGAGUGGCGGACGGGUGAGGAAUACAUCGGAAUCUACUUUUUCGUGGGGGAUAACGUAGGGAAACUUACGCUAAUACCGCAUACGACCUACGGGUGAAAGCAGGGGAUCUUCGGACCUUGCGCGAUUGAAUGAGCCGAUGUCGGAUUAGCUAGUUGGCGGGGUAAAGGCCCACCAAGGCGACGAUCCGUAGCUGGUCUGAGAGGAUGAUCAGCCACACUGGAACUGAGACACGGUCCAGACUCCUACGGGAGGCAGCAGUGGGGAAUAUUGGACAAUGGGCGCAAGCCUGAUCCAGCCAUACCGCGUGGGUGAAGAAGGCCUUCGGGUUGUAAAGCCCUUUUGUUGGGAAAGAAAAGCAGCAGGUUAAUACCCCGCUGUUCUGACGGUACCCAAAGAAUAAGCACCGGCUAACUUCGUG